rnacentral:rRNA from 1 species
AUGGCCGAAUGCUUCAAUAGGGUGCUCAAAGGUGCACGUGGAUUACCCGUGACGGCAAUAGUUAAAUACACAUUUGACAAGAUGAAUGCGUGCUUUCUAAAGUACUCGAUGGAAACGGAUGCACAGAUAGCGGGUGAGAACAAUCGCAAGUACAAGUACAAGUUCCCACCCAAGGUUGAUGAAUGGUUGGAAUUUUAAUCACGGAAGGCGAACUCACAAGAAGCUAUACUAUAUGACAACGAAGAGUGGAAGUACGAAGUGAAAGAGCCAGGAGGAACCACAAAUGAUGGCCGCCAACAUGGAGGUCGGGCUUUCAAGGUGUCGCUAACAUGUUGUGAUUGCUCUUGCGGGAGGCCAUUGUUGCUUCAUCUCCCAUGCUCACACUUGUAUACCGCCGGUCACGUUAGGAAUGUGGACGUUAAUCACCCACUCACUGUGAGGGAGUCAGAGUUCUCAGUCAUGACGGUCAAGAAAACAUGGGCUGUCCGCUUUUACUUUGACCAAUCACAAUGGCUGGAGCACCAUGGAGUUCAACUAUGGCCGGAUCCGGAGUUGAAGGUUGUUAAACGGGGUCUACGUAAGACAAAGCGUCUUAGAGGCAACAUGGACGGAUGGGGCCAUGGUGGCCGCCGUGAAGUGGGCAACGACCAAUUCCAAGAGCCUCGUGAGAGCUCCCGUUGUGGGGGAAUGCAAAGGUCAUGGCCACAACAAAAGAAAAUGUAUGAAACCAAGAAAAAGGUCCAAGAGAAAUGA